AUGGCGGCCAUACUUGAAACUUUGCUUAAAUCAAGUGUUAAUAAGUUGCAAGAUGUCAUUACGGAUGAGGCCAUACUAGUCCUAGGGGUGGAAGAAGAGCUCACAAAAUUGCUGCGGCGUGUGGAACUAAUUCAGUGUUGUAUAUACAAUGCUGAGAAAAGGAGGACAAAGGAGCAAGCAUUAAACAAUUGGCUUGGUCAACUGAGAGAUGUUAUAUAUGAUGUUGAUGAAAUCUUGGAUGUGGCUAGAUGUAAAGGAAGCAACCUACUUGCUGAUGACCCUGCACCAUCAUCUGGCAAAUCAGUUGCAUGUAAAGGCCGUGAUGUUGUUGUUCGGAUUAGAAGCCUGAACAAAAAGAUUGAGAAUAUUGCAAACGAAAAGAUAUUUUGA
rnacentral:rRNA from 1 species